UAACACGUAGGGUAACCUGCCCCGGAGCGGGGGAUAACAUUUGGAAACAGAUGCUAAUACCGCAUAACAAUAAAAGCCGCAUGGCUUUUAUUUGAAAGAUGGCUUUGGCUAUCACUCUGGGAUGGACCUGCGGUGCAUUAGCUAGUUGGUAAGGUAACGGCUUACCAAGGCGAUGAUGCAUAGCCGAGUUGAGAGACUGAUCGGCCACAAUGGAACUGAGACACGGUCCAUACUCCUACGGAAGGCAGCAG
rnacentral:rRNA from 1 species